rnacentral:rRNA from 1 species
GACGAACGCUGGCGGCGUGCCUAAUACAUGCAAGUCGAACGCAGUGGGGACGGGUGAGUAACACGUGGGUAACCUCCCAUCAGAGGGGAUAACACUUGGAAACAGGUGCUAAACCGAUACUGAUGGAUGACCCCUCGGUGCAUUAGCGAGUGGGUGAGGUAACGGCUCACCAAGGCCACGAUGCAUAGCUGGUCUGAGAGGGUGAUCAGCCACACUGGGACUGAGGCACGGCCCAGACUCCUACGGGAGGCAGCAGUGGGGAAUCUUCGGCAAUGGACGAAAGUCUGACGGAGCAAUGCCGCGUGAGUGAAGAAGGUCUUCGGGUCGUAAAACACUGUUGUCAGAGAAGCGGUAUCUAAACAGAAAGCAACGGCUAACUACGUGCCAGCAGCCGCGGUAAUUC